UACGGGGGGGGCAAGCGUUGUUCGGAAUUACUGGGCGUAAAGGGCUCGUAGGCGGCCAACUAAGUCAGACGUGAAAUCCCUCGGCUUAACCGGGGAACUGCGUCCGAUACUGGAUGGCUUGAGUUUGGGAGAGGGAUGCGGAAUUCCAGGUGUAGCAGUGAAAUGCGUAGAUAUCGUGAGGAAUACCAGAGGCGAAGGCGGCUACCUGGACAAUUGCGUGACGCUCAGGCACGAAAGCGUGGGGAGCAAAAGGG
rnacentral:rRNA from 1 species